rnacentral:rRNA from 1 species
UACGUAGGUGGCAAGCGUUGUCCGGAUUUACUGGGCGUAAAGGAUGCGUAGGCGGACAUUUAAGUCAGAUGUGAAAUACCCGAGCUUAACUUGGGUGCUGCAUUUGAAACUGGGUGUCUAGAGUGCAGGAGAGGUAAGUGGAAUUCCUAGUGUAGCGGUGAAAUGCGUAGAGAUUAGGAAGAACACCAGUGGCGAAGGCGACUUACUGGACUGUAACUGACGCUGAGGCAUGAAAGCGUGGGGAGCAAGCAGG